rfam:Aedes albopictus isolate Foshan contig253213, whole genome shotgun sequence.
CAAUCGGCCCUUCUCAGGGCCACCAAUUUAUCCACGGAAGAGUUAG